rnacentral:lncRNA from 1 species
GCGUGUAGUGGGUGGAUCUGCAAUUGUAUUCCUGUUUCAAGCCCCGUUUUCUUGCAGCUCUUCGGCACUGCAAACCUAACCGCUAAUGGCGCUGUGGGUGGAGAAACGUUUGUUAGGCAACAACAGAAUUCUGCGAAACUUGGUUGGUUGGAGGAGCACACCAAAAAUAAAGUACCGGAGCCGGCACGGCUUCAAAAAAAUUAGGAUCAGUACCGCUAGUAGCGAACGCAUAAGAAGGGCUUCCUGUAUGCCUGCGUAUCUUGUUUAAGCCUAAAGAUAUGUACUCUCUUUAUCCUCUUUUUUUGAGACGAGGAAGUAGACCCAGCAUGCCCGAGAUCACACAUUUUACAAGGAAGAAGUAGGAUCCAGACCCAGGGAGUUUAACUUCAAAACUUGAACGUUUAACAAUCAGGUCUUGCUGCCCUACUCAUAAAGAGACCCAAAUAAAAACAACAUGACGCCA